CAGUCGCCGCGGUAAUACGAAGGGGGCUAGCGUUGCUCGGAAUCACUGGGCGUAAAGGGUGCGUAGGCGGGUCUUUAAGUCAGGGGUGAAAUCCUGGAGUUCAACUCCAGAACUGCCUUUGAUACUGAAGAUCUUGAGUUCGGGAGAGGUGAGUGGAACUGCGAGUGUGGAGGUGAAAUUCGUAGAUAUUCGCAAGAACACCAGUGGCGAAGGCGGCUCACUGGCCCGAUACUGACGCUGAGGCACGAAAGCGUGGGGAGCAAACAGGAUUAGAUACCCCAGUAGUCCUGUCUCUUAUACA
rnacentral:rRNA from 1 species